rnacentral:rRNA from 1 species
GAUGAACGCUGGCGGCGUGCCUAAUACAUGCAAGUCGAGCGAACGGACGAGAAGCUUGCUUCUCUGAUGUUAGCGGCGGACGGGUGAGUAACACGUGGAUAACCUACCUAUAAGACUGGGAUAACUUCGGGAAACCGGAGCUAAUACCGGAUAAUAUUUUGAACCGCAUGGUUCAAAAGUGAAAGACGGUCUUGCUGUCACUUAUAGAUGGAUCCGCGCUGCAUUAGCUAGUUGGUAAGGUAACGGCUUACCAAGGCAACGACGCAUAGCCGACCUGAGAGGGGGAUCGGCCACACUGGAACUGAGACACGGUCCAGACUCCUACGGGAGGCAGCAGUAGGGAAUCUUCCGCAAUGGGCGAAAGCCUGACGGAGCAACGCCGCGUGAGUGAUGAAGGUCUUCGGAUCGUAAAACUCUGUUAUUAGGGAAGAACAUAUGUGUAAGUAACUGUGCACAUCUUGACGGUACCUAAUCAGAAAGCCACGGCUAACUACGUG